GGAUAGGUAGCUUAAUGGUAAAGCAGCGGCCUGUUAAGCCGCAGGAUGAAAGUUCGAAUCUUUCCCGCUCCGCAA
rnacentral:tRNA from 1 species